rnacentral:rRNA from 1 species
AUUCCAGCUCUAAUAGCGUAUAUUAAUGUUGUUGCGGUUAAAAAGCUCGUGGUUGAAAGUGAAGGGUAAAACUGGAUCUGGGGAAACCCAUUUGCAGUUAUUAGCGCGUUUUAAGGUAUUCGGUUUACUUGACUUAAUUGUCAAAUAAGCUUAACGGAUGCCUCGUAGCUACUCUGAUAAAAUCAGAGUGCUUAAAACAAGCCUUUAAGCUUGUAUAUUUGUGCAUAGUAUAGCAAAAUAUGACCUAAGCUAAUAAAGAUGGUGAUUAGCCGUGGUAAUGAUUAAAAGGGAUUGUCGGAGGCAUUUGUAUUUGAAAGUGAGAGGUGAAAUUCUAUGAUCUUUCAAAGACAAACUAGCGCGAAAGCAUUUGCCGAGUAUGUUUUCAUCA